AAUAUUACUGUUUCCGGUUGUGGUGGACACGAAAAUGGGAAACCCCAAUGUAAAUCUUAAGAUGGUCAUGAUCGGCAAAAUUUGAUACUGUUUUGGGAGAGAAUAUUGUUAUCAUUUCGAAAUGGCGACCAGAAGUUUAACAGAAGUGUUUAUUUUGAUGCGUAACAAUGCGCUUCAAAGCAGAAACAUGUUUUCAGAACAGCUUGCUGAUGACAGAAUGGCCUUGGUUUCCAGUUGUCAUGUUGAUCCAGAGUUAGGAAUAGCCAGCACCAAGUCUGCUAGACUGCCACCAGAAUGGGUAGAUGGCGUGGAGGAAGUCCAGUUUGAAAUGUCAAGAAUCAAGCAAAAAAUGAAGGAGCUUGCCACUCUUCAUGACAAACAUUUGAAUCGUCCAACACUUGAUGAUAGCAUUCAAGAAGAACAUACCAUAGAAAUCAUGACAGGAGAAAUCACACAAAUGUUCACCAGAUGUCAGAGAUUGGUUCAACAGAUCAGCAGUCGAAGUGUUCGGGGGACUGAACAGGAGAAACGACUGUCGUCCAACAUUGUAUCGUCUCUUGUCCGAUCACUGCAGGAAAUGUCCACCAACUUCAGAAAAAGCCAGUCUGUCUACUUAAAAAAAAUCAAAUCUCGGGAGGAGAGAUCUCGUGAGUUUUUUGACUCCAGUAUUGGCCCUGACUCAGCAUUAAUGCAGGAAUCCGACCUUUUCUCAGAACACUACGAUAAGGAGCUGGAUACUGGGGGUUUUAGUAAGGCCCAGAUGCAAUUAGUGGAAGACAACACAACAGCUGUCCGACAUCGAGAAAAAGAAAUAACACUAAUUGUCAAAUCUAUUCAGGAUCUAAAUGACAUUUUCCGUGACCUGUCACAGAUGGUGGUGGACCAGGGCACUAUUUUAGACCGCAUCGACUAUAACGUAGAGCAUGCUAGUGUUCAGGUGGAGAAAGGACUACAGCAGUUAAAGAAGGCCGAAAAAUACCAGAAGAAAAACCGCAAAAUGUUGAUCAUCAUCAUACUCACAUGUCUCAUUAUCAUCUUAAUUAUUGUGUUAAUUGGUGUUAAGAGCUAGUAUUAGGUGUCCUGUUAGUCUUAACUAUUUUGGUAUUUCCUGUUAUUUGUGUUGUGAAAUGAAGGUAAGCAAUAUACAGUUGAUGCAUGGAGGCAUGCAUUGAAUUUAAUAAUUAAAAAUCAAUCUCAAAACGUGUAUAUAUAAAAUUAUAAAAAAAAAAAAGGACUUAAAGUUGUGAUUUCUGAGCAUGUACAAGAUUAACUUUUGGUUUGAAAACAGAUCUGCAUCUCAGUAAUGUCAGGGGUAUUAUAUAUUAGGACUCUUGUAAUUAAAUCUGAACACAAUUCAUAAAAGGAAUUUUCCUUUUUCCUGCCAUAAUCAUUUAUUCUCUCUUUAUAUCUGAGGCCUCAUUUAAGCCAUUCACUUAUUCCCAGUUUAGUGUAAUCAACUUUCUUCUGUAUAGACAGACAUAUACUACAUCAUACAUAGGAUAACUAUUUGUAAGUUAAAAACUUGGUAGAAAAAAAUAACUGUGAGCUUCUUCCAUGGCAGGAGAGUAAUUUACUGAAGAACUUAAAACACUUGGACAGGUCAGUACAGUAUACAAACAAAAAUACAAUAACAGCUAUAAAAUGUAAACAAAGGUAAAUGUAAGAUGACCAAUUGUUCAUUCUAUGCAGGGACUCAUUGCAAGGAAGUAGUCAGAUGUAUUAAAUGUGAAGGGUAUACCCCAUUGCUGAUAUCUGAGAUAGGAAAACUAAUAUGGCACAUGUCUUUUUAUAAUGGUGUUCAGCUUUAAGAACAAUGAAAAGUAAUAAAAACAACCUGAAGUGAAUUAAAAACCUCUUCCUAUUAAACACAAGUUUCCUUUACAUCUAAUUUCUACUGAAUCUUGAGAUAAUGUAAAUCUUAAUCUCAUAGUUUCUCUAAGAAACUUUGAAGAAAUUAUUUGAUGUUUGAUUAUUGGAGUUUUAUGAAAGCAACUCUACUGGAAAUAUACAUGUAUUUUAAAAUAUUCGAAUACUAGAAGUUGAUUACAUAUUUUUCUUAAAUUUCCUGACAUAAUUUUGACCCAGGCACAGGGUUAAUCUCUGUGUUCUCUAUCACAGUUCACACAUACAUUUUAUGUACAUUAAUAACAUGUGUUAUAGAGAACAAGACAGAUACCACAUGUCCCCAUACUCCAGAUGUUUCAUUUCCUAAACAUAAGUUUCAUACCAGUAUUUCAUUUUAAUAACAUUAACAUGUCUGACAGUGAAGAAAAGGAAACUUUAUUCUAUACAUAGAAAAUGUGUAUUUGUAAAUAUCUAUGUUAUGAAUUGAGGAAUGGAUUAAGAGAUUUUCAUUCAAAUUGACAUCAGUUAGGAAUGAAAAUGAAGUUAAUCUUUGGAGAGAACAAACAAUAUAAAUCAGAGAAGAAGGAACUAGUCAGUUGAAGUUGCCAUCAUUCCAUUAGAGAUGAGAUUUAUUGUAGUAUUGUAACAUUCCAAUCUCUAAUACUUCUGGUUUAUUUAUAUAUGUGUGCAAUAAUCUCCUUUUGCAUUAAAAUUUAUCUUAUAUUAAGUUAACAUAUUUUUAUGCAAUACAAUCAAUGUAUAAACUUCAGUAAACAUGGCAAGCCACACAGGCCAAUUUUCAGGGUUUUUUUCUUCAGAAUUUUAUCAGAACUUAGUGAGUUCAUGACUUCUUAAAUAAUUGUUUAAAAAAAAACAACAGACAAAA